GAUGAACGCUAGCUACAGGCUUAACACAUGCAAGUCGAGGGGAAACGACAGUAAAGCUUGCUUUAUUGGGCGUCGACCGGCGCACGGGUGAGUAACGCGUAUCUAACCUGCCCACCACUUGGGGAUAACCUUGCGAAAGUAAGACUAAUACCCAAUGAUAUCCCACGAAGGCAUCCGAAUGGGAUUAAAGAUUUAUCGGUGAUGGAUGGGGAUGCGUCUGAUUAGCUUGUUGGCGGGGUAACGGCCCACCAAGGCUACGAUCAGUAGGGGUUCUGAGAGGAAGGUCCCCCACAUUGGAACUGAGACACGGUCCAAACUCCUACGGGAGGCAGCAGUGAGGAAUAUUGGUCAAUGGACGGAAGUCUGAACCAGCCAAGUAGCGUGCAGGAUGACGGCCCUAUGGGUUGUAAACUGCUUUUAUGUGGGAAUAAAGUCAGGGACGUGUCCCUGUUUGCAUGUACCACAGGAAUAAGGACCGGCUAAUUCCGUG
rnacentral:rRNA from 1 species